rnacentral:rRNA from 1 species
AACGUAGGUGGCGAGCGUUAUCCGGAUUUACUGGGCGUAAAGGGCUCGUAGGCGGCCAACUAAGUCGGACGUGAAAUCCCCAGGCUCAACCUGGGAACUGCGUCCGAUACUGGAUGGCUUGAAUCCGGGAGAGGGAUGCAGAAUUCCAGGUGUAGCGGUGAAAUGCGUAGAUAUCUGGAGGAAUACCGGUGGCGAAGGCGGCAUUCUGGACCGGCAUUGACGCUGAGGAGCGAAAGCCAGGGGAGCAAACGGG